UACCGUUCGGAAUUGAAUACAGUUUGAUGGUUGAAUAAACCGUGGACUAGGCAACUAACACAGUAUUCAAAGACGUUCCCGAAAUUCAGCCGUGGUGCAGAGUUCCAGCCACUCUGAGCCAGUCGCACAUUGAGCUUCCCCCAAAUGCGCUGUUUCGGUGUCUGUAGCUAUAAUGCAAAUGAGGAGGAGCGAGGCGGGUCAAGGAGGAGGGUGGGGGUGUGGCCCUGAGCAGCUUGCAGCCACGGUACCAUGCGCUCUGUUUACAGUGGAUGUAUCGCAAUGGCGAGGCGCACACAGCCUUUAGCCGUGUUCUGUAAAUAUUCUAGAACACUAGAAUAUAGAAUAUACUACACUGGGGAGUCUUUCUCCUCCAUGUCGCAGUUCAUGUACUUCAGGGAGUCAAAGCCAAAGUUCCUUUCCCCCAAUUCCUUCUCAACCAUGGGUCAGAUAACCCCCACUGCAGUCUCGUUGUGGAAAUACAAGAGACUUCAAAGAACCGACAAGGAACACUUGCGUUACAGUCUGUGUAUUCACACACACAUGUGGCGCUCGCACGGUCGUGUCUCAUUGGCGGGCCAACGUCUCUGGGCGGGCCAGGCAGAGUAAGGGGAGGAGCUUAGAUGCUUUGUGACAGACCUAAAGACAUUCCAAAUCAGCGCGCCUGAGCCACGCAAGUUUUAGCCACUGGGGGACCAUAGGCAGGCUAGGGGAACUCAUAUUUAUGUUAGAAACCUCAUAAAGUGAGAUUUUCAUGUCAUGGGACCUUUAAUGUUUUAUGUUUGGGUCACGCGGAGUGAGAAACCUUGAAGUUACUGUGGAGUUACCGUUAUUACUAUACCUACCUACCGUUUCGAUUUACAAUUACUAUUCCUACCGUUCAGAAUUGAAUACAGUUUGAUGGUUGAAUAAACCGUGGACUAGACACUGCCUCCGCCUCGUAUUUGAGAACAUUAUAAUAUAUAAUAUCACGGCCAAAAGCUGUGUGCACCUCCGGAAUAUUAUGGACAGAAUUGCAACCCUUUGGUUGCGACAGUUUUUAAGCACUCGUAAUUCGUCAGACACCAGACAACCUCCUGCACCCCCUUUUGGCUCAUAGUUGCCACUACAAGGGUCAUAAUGACUUAAUUGACCACACCCGAGUGGCGAGUUGUCAUGUAAGCAGGUUUUCACUAUACUUCAGGGGGAACCCUUUUCGGUUGAUGCAGGCAUGCCCAGGUAAAAAAGUAAUAUACUUUAAUGUACUAAAAAUGUACUUAAUUUUUUGAAAGUACAUUUCUAGCACAUUUUCACUUUAUGUGUUAAAAUAAAGUAAACCAAAAAUAUAUUAUAAAUGUAUUAAUUACAAAUAUAUUAUUUCCUCAGUAGUACUUCAGUUUACUUAGAUAAAGUACACUAUUUAUUAAUUCAUAUUAAGUAUAUUCAUAUAAAAUAUACUAACACUGAAAUAUAUAUAAGUGUUUGAUUUGUAUAUGUAUUUAUAAUGUACUUCGAAUGUGUUAAAUAUAAGUUUAAUGUCAGUGUAUUUGCAUCUGCUUUUAUCAAGUGCACUUUUAGCACACUAUCAAUAAGUUUACUUUUAUAACACUUUUUUCAUAUCAUUGUUAGCACAGCAGUGUUAAAGUGCACUUAAAAUAAGUAUAUUAAUAAUUGAAUACUACUUCAGUGGUAAAUUAGUGUAUUCUUCAUAAGUACACUAUAAACCAGAACAAAGUAUGUAGCCAUUUAUUUUAGUGUGCUAAGAUCAGUUUAAAAGAAUGUACAAUAACAUUUAAUUUCUUUCACUGAUCUUUUCUCUUCAACCUUUUAAAAUAAUGUAUUUUACCAGCAAAAUGCAACAAUGCUGUUAUGUAACAAUACCUUUUCUAAUUGAAAAAAUAUCCUUCAUUUUCUAUACCUAUUUCAAUUUUAAAUUGUUAGCAAUUAGUGUUAUAAAGUAUUUGGAUUAUUUCAACACCACCGUUGUUUUUAUGCAAUAUUUAAAAAUUCAUCCAUUCUCCAAAUUUAAUGGUGAAUUUUGAAUAAACAUGAACAUCAACAACAGAGCACCUUUCAAUUGACCAUGUGCUUUUAUUUAAUGCAGUAGUCAAGACUCACCAGUAUUUCUAACAAAAAAACAGUACAACCUUGUGUAUUUCUUAUCAUCACAUGGAAAGUACUUAUUCCAAAGCUUGGAUUGUUUCACUUACAUUUGACAGCAAUCAGAAAACAUAUUAGACUUAUGAACAUAUUAAGAUGUGCAGAUAACAGGAAAUUUGCUUUGCUGCUUGACAGAAAAAUUAAUCUUUUGAAAGUCUUUGAUUUUGCAUGAAAACAGUCUGUUAAAGUUCAACAUUUUGAGGCCACAAUUUUGUUUGUAUUUUGUUAUACCACAACUGUUAUAGUAUAACUGUUUAACAGCACAGUCUUUGUGUUUGCUUGCCCAUGUGCCUUAUAAUUUUUACAGAUGUAAUACUCUGAAGUUGCCAUUUUUGGACAUUGUCCACUAGUUUUAAGGCACACCAAGAAUAUACACUGAUAUGUAAUCCCUGUUUCUUACAAUUUGGCAGUGGUUUCAGCAUUUUUUCUCAAACUUCCCCAGUAACUAUUUAAUCUCUCUCUACAUUAUUUGGUAGAGGAAUAACAUAUUGUUUGUCUCUUGAUUGGAUCAAAACACAUUUCCUGUGGAACAGGUCAGUGGGCACCGCAUAAACAUUCCUAGAUUCUGACACCUCAGACAUAAAACUGGAAGCAAUGUUCAGUUGACUAUCCUUGCAGAGCUGUCCAUCAAUCUUCACAAGCUCCUUUACCAAUAUACAGUGCAAUGACAAAUCGCCUGCUCUGAAUACUGACAUGCAAAGAAUUCUACAUAAUCUUCGAUCCUGUAACUCCACUGUUGAGUUUAUCCUUUUUUUUAGACUUCUGUUACUGCUGGAAUGAUACAGUAUGCCUUUUAUAAUGAAACGGUGAUAACAAACACAGUGUUCGACUGCAACACUUAGCAAGUCUUUGAUAGCAAGUUUUUCUAAUGCUGACAGUUUUUGAUGACAGGGAUUACCAAAAACUCUUGACAUUUUCAUCCAGGCUAGAUGAAUUAGAACUUGAUACAUUGCUGUUUAGGAGAUGUGAAAAAAUGCAUUUCACCCCUUCAUUAGCAUCUACCAUGUACUUUUCGGCUUUUUGUGUUAGACUCCUCCAGCAAAGAAAUCUUUUAACUAUUUGCUCUGGAACAUGUGUUGUCCCAUUGAAGUACUGUAACAAAGUGCCAUUAAAUGAUUCGAAGGAAAAGGUUGAUGUGGCCCACAAAGGGCCCCAGUUCCUAACACUUGCCGCAAGGUGUGUCAGAAGAUGGACAUUAAAUGUCAUAUUUGAGGCACCAUAUAACUUCUCAAACUGCAGUGAGAACUUCUUGAGAGCUCUUUCAGCUACUUCAAUAUCACAGCGUUUCACCUUUUCUCCCAAAAGAAUGUGCAUUGCGAACACAAACAGAAAAAGGUGGUUCCAGAACUUCUUUAGUAAGACCCCAUUCAGUAAAGGCAGGGCAUAGAAUAACAGGAAUGACCUCCACUCUGACGCUUUCCAAUAUUUUCUGUCUGCCACAGAUCGUGGUACUCUUGUUAUCUCAACAGGGGGUUGAAUUGCAAUGAGCUCUUUGUCAAUGCGGUCUGAUUUUGCUACCACUCUUUUUAGUACCACUCUUUUUUUAUGAUUUCUUGAGUCAAACCACAGUUUUGCUUAUUGUCUUGUCACACCAAGGCAGACACAAUGCUGAUACUCUGGAACAAAUCCAUUUAUCAUUUGAAACUGAGAGUUUCAUUAAUGGUGAAGGUCCUUUUACUCCCAUUACAGGACUGUCUGGUGUUGCAGCCAUUGCGUUAUCAAAAUGCUUAGCUUCAGUUCUAAGAUGUGGUUUUGGGCCUUUGUUUGUGUAAGGACCACCACCAACAUGGUAACAAAAAUCACAUCCAUAAAAGCCAUUAAACUAUUUGGUGUUUCUUAGAAGUGGGCGAGCAACUGAAUCUGAACUGCAUAUCAGAGCAUACACUUUGGAGACAUGUUUUACAUUUGCUGAGUCCUUCCCUUUAAUGCCAUUUUGUUCUAAAAUUUGCAGUUCAUUAACAAAUGGCUUCAAAAAUGUUAAGAAGUUUGGCUUCUUCUCGCCAAACCGGAGACAAGGAAGACAGAUAUUUGCCUUGCAUUCUUUAGGUUCGAGUUCUAUAACCUGGCACUGAAUGGGCCAGAUUUGAUACUUUGAACUCCUGAAAACUGGAAUUCCAUCACAGUUCCAAAUUAAAGUUAUGUCAUCCUCACCUAAUUCACCUGAUUCUUUGAGUUUCUGGUACUCUUCUCCACACUGUAUAUCUGAAAUGACAUCUGCACAUUGCCAGUCUUUUUUUAAACCUUGGUUUUGUUCAAGCGAUGUUUUGAUUUGUGAAGCCAAACUAAGAACUAGAAAGAAACACCCACUUUUGAGACAGCUCUCUGAAUCAGUUACUGCAUUACAAGCACCACACAUUAGUUCACUGGUAUUAUUUACCCCUAAGUAGUUUUCACAUGCUGGACAGUAAAAAUGGGGGACAUAAUUUCCAUAUUGUCCAUAAGCUUUGUGAAAAAGGUAUGUGGUUACUGGUACCAUUCCAGGGAAAUGUUCAUUGACAAUCUUCAGUAGAUGUUCAAGUGCCACACCUGUCACAUUGUGCCUUACCUUAGUACAUAAGACAUCAGUAAGAUUAAACUUUGUCCCUUUGUCAGUGGAGCUCCAGGAUACGCUGGAUCAUCUCCAUCCAACAGAAAUGUCUCUGCCUGUGAACAUAAAAAAAGAAAAGAUAGAAAACUGUUACACUCAUCUGCAUUAAAAGAGAUUGCUUACAGAUUUACAGAGAAAACAUACUGUAUAAUACAUGUUAAUAACCUGUUGGUUUGGUGUCUCUUGCUGAUCAGGUGGAGUAGCAGGCACAUUGCAUCCUGGUUGCCUCUCUAACAUGUCCUGGCAUAAUAUAAAUGGAAGCAUAAAUACUUUCAUUUUAAUUUAUUUUAUAGUUUUGACAUAUAAAACAAUACUAGUGCUCCAAAAGAUAAGUGGUAACUACUACAAGUCAUCUGGUAGUUUUUACAUUCAGAGAAUUUAUCAAGUUGCCUUCUGGGGUUGUUAGCAGAGAGUUAUGCAAAUGGAAUACACACUAGCUUCAUAUAAAACUGAUGUGAUUUCAGGGGAAAGGAUGAAUGUAGUGCCUAUAUUCAGUAAAUAUACAAAAUGUGUAGCUCCUUGCCCAAACCUAGAAAACAAAUGAACUCUAUUAACAAAUCAGAAACAAGAAUACUGAAAAGCUCUAAUCCUUGGGUGGAUGUAAGACAGGGCAUCUGUUUCUAUCAAGACAAUGAGUUCAAACAUUAAGCCAAAACUGCAUAAUAAUGCUUAAUAAAAAACAAAAUUGUUGUAUUGGCGGAAUAAAACAUCAGAUUUAAGUCACAUUAAGCAAGUUAAGCCACAUUUGCAUUAUAUGUGCAGUGAAGAUCGAACAGAUGGAUAAUAUCCAGGAAAAUGGUGACUACAGCUUCACAUACUGAAGAACUGUAUUAAUUAAGGGAAGGUAUAUGUCACAGCCAUCAAGUGCCAAUGUAGGCUAUAAGUCAGUCACCUGUUAGAAACUUUGUUAGCCUCAUGUGGAACUACUAAUUUGCUUGAAUUACAAUGUAAAUUAACAUUAACAUGAAUGAAUAAUGCAAUCAUACAUUGAAAUAGUUAUUUGUAGUUAUAAUUCUGUGACCAAAUGAGACCUUGCUGGUGUUCACUUUCAAUACAUGUUUAUUAUCGGUAGCCUAUAAUACUAUUAUUUUAAAGGUGUAGAGAAAUGGCCGUUAGUCCUGUUUGUCACGCCGAGUUGUCACGAGCUGCAACACGAGUUUACCCGAGUAAGGAAUACGAAUUUGAUUGGUCGUUAUCGUGUGUGCGUGUCUCAGACGUUUGAAUUAUGGAUGACGGAUCCAAUAUCAGUGGCUUUUGAAUCGUGUACAGGCUGACGUAUUAUCCGUGCGCCUGCAUUAUCCAAUGAGAAAUAAAAUACCACACUUUCAUCCCGGAUUUACUCAAAAAUAUAAUUUUGCACAAAGUUUGGCCUACAUCGUCUGAAAGAUGAGUUAUUCAUAUAAUUUCAUGACCCAGAGUGGGGUCAAAUUCAAUUUUCUUUUCUGUACACCUUUAAGACGUCGGUUUAAAAAAUAAAAACUACUCUAUUCACAUUUUCUGUAUUGAUUAAAGGGGUUGUUUUUAGCAUAAAAAUGAAACUAGUAACUUGUAUCUAUAGUACCUGUGCUUCUGGUCCGAUUUGCAUAUCUUGUUGAUCCCCACAAAAUUAAUAAUAAUAAUAAUAAUUCAUUAUAUUUAUAUAGCGCUUUUCAAUGACCCAAAGACGCUUACAGAAGGGGGGGACCUAACUCACCACCACCAGUGUGUAGCACCCACUUGGGUGAUGCACGGCAGCCAAUCUGCGCCAGAACGCUCACCACACACCAGCUUGAGGUGAAAAGUGCAGUGUGAGUAGGUGGAGGGUGGCAAUUCUAGCACUGGGUGGGUCUUUCUGGAGACUCCCUCCGGCAGGCUGCAUAUAAUGAAGAUAUAAUACAUGGAAUUUCUCAAGUGAAGUAUUAAUGACAAUAAUACAUGUUUGUGUCUCAUUUUAAGGAAAUACACUGUAGGGUCUACUACAAUCAUUAUUUUCAUCACGUUUAAUUUAAUUUAAAUGACAAUUAUACAGAAACUAUAUAGUAUAACAUAGCAAUUAAUAUCAACAAUUUCAAUUGCUGGUAUUUUAAUACCUCUGAUGAAUCUCUGUUGGGUCUGUCCUGAAGCAGGUGCUCUCUUAUUGGACUGACAAGAUGCUUUCCUCUCAAACAUUCUAAAGAUGACUGACCCCUUGGUCCUUCUGCAACAAGGCCCUCAUCGGGAACAUUCUGAUCAUGAGAAAGCACAUAGAUUUAUUUAAAGGUUGACAAUGUAGGAUUACCAGAACAACCACAGAAUGCCAGACCUUUGCUAGGCAAAACGGGUCGUUUCUAGGCACUCCGUUCUGAUCAGAGGACAGCAGAGGAGGAGAACUGCAGGAUAUUUCAUUUUUACCUUCAUUAACAGCAUAAUAAAUUACUUUUAGCUUAUUAGAGGAAGAGUGGAGGCUCUCUGCCAACAACCUCAACCUUUAACUAUCAUACUGUAAACAUUUAGGGUAUGAUAAACAUUACAAAUACAAUUAUGGAUGAAUAAAUGCUUUAGAGGAAAGUAAUAUGUAUUUUGUGAACCCCUUAAUUUUAUUUCAGAAUGGAAGCAUAAAACAUAGUAAUGAUCAUACAUAGUAAUUUUACCUGUUUGUAAGUUGUGGGAUUGUCUCCUGGAUAUUCCUCAAGAGAAUAUGUUCGUUCACAGUUAUUUGAAAGUGGAAUCUGGGGAGUGCAGUUGCAAUGUCAACUUGCAUGUAACACUAUCUGCAAUUCAUAUUAUUGCGAACGAAAGAAAUGGUCUACCUCUUUCACGACCUCUCUAUUGUUAGUUGUACAGGAUGCCCUGAGGUAUUUCUUCUAAUUCCCUCUGCUGUUUAAAGUAUUCUGCAAUGAACACGAAGGUCCUUGCGUUUAAAAUGAAGACUUAUUCUAUAAUCACUGCUGUUGUUGAUAAUAAAAUAAAUGUGAAAGGUCAAAUACUUCUUUCUCGUUUGCUAGCCGUCUGUGUUUGGUUGCCUUUGAAGGUUGGCUCGACUCAUUCAGCAGAUAUUCUUUGUAAUGUCUUUUGGCACAUGUCCGGCACAUGUCCGCCCGCAGACAUGUGCCAUGUCUGCGGGCGGUUUUAGUUUUUCUCUAAGCCCGGUAAAAUACAUCCAUGGCGAUGACGUUUUAUCCAGGACACUGCGCGCGCCCUCUGCACUUUGCCGCACUUUACCUUAUUAUUGAUACGUGCGCAUGCGUGCGCACGUAUUCGUGGCGCUGUGCUGCCGCUGAUUGGUUACCCCCAAAUGCAACCUGCUUGAAUGUAGAUGCUGACAGGGAACCGUUGUCGCAGUUGAGUUACAAUGGCGCAGUUCAAGUUCGGGAUGUUUUAUUUUAAGGACAACACAAUUCACGUCGAAAGUACUGACAUUGUGGAACCUCAGUACAGACAGAAGCUCGUUCAGGUAUUAAAACGGCCGGACCUCUACAGUGAAGACGGAUGGAUACCAGUGUGCUGGGGCACCAGGAAAGCACCUACAAACAAUGUGGCCGCAAAACUGCUCUUACUCUGAGGUUUGUAUUGCUCGUGCAUGGUGUGAAAUAUCUUUUGAAUAGAUAUUCCAUUUCUACUAAUGACUAAGAUAAUAGGCAAACUUAUCAUUCACAAGCUGCAUUAGCUAACUAGCUAGCUAGCUGUUAGCGGCAGGCGGCAGCUAAUGCUAGUGUAAAUGGUGCUAAUUUAGUGCAACUUCAGAUGAGAUUUUGUGUGAACAUUUGUGAGCGUGCUGUGAAUGUUUAGCACAAAUUGCCCACUGUAAAGAAAAUAACAAGAAUUUUUUUUUACAAAUUUCUUAUGUUAUCCCUAUGUUCCCCGGGUCCUAAGUUCCCCGGGUUCUAUGUUCCCCACUCGGGGAACAUAGAACCCUUUUUAAAAAAAAAAAACAAGUCCUAUGUUCCCCGUUUUUCCCAAAAAGGGUCCUAUGUUCCCCUGUAGCCAUACAUGCCGGGGAGCAUAGGACCCUUUUUGGGAAAAGCGGGGAACAUAGGACCCUUUUUUAAAAAAGGGUCCUAUGUUCCCCAGUCUCAUACAAAGGGGAACAUAGGACCCGGGGAACAUAGCACCCGGGGAACAUAGACACGCUCCCCCAGCCACCUGAUGAUUUGAUAAAGAAUUUGCCAGUGGCUCAUGCUAAUGAUUGUUAAUGUUGACCUUGUGUGAUUUAAUUUUUGUGUAACUAUGUUUAUAAAAAGACUUAGAGUGACUUGUUGUGUACAAUAUUAGAUUGACUGUGGUGCAUUUCACGAGACGUACAAAAUAUCUAAAAUAUUGAGCAAAAGAGGGUAAAAACAUGGUUUUGACAGUUUGUCUGAUGUAUGGUUGUGGUUACAGACAACUACAAGGAGUUGAUGGGGGAAAAUGAAGCCUUCCUCAAGGAUGAGGACAUCUGGCACAUGGCAGUUGCAAGGAGAAGGACCACACCUUGUACCACAACACAGGAUGGAAGCAAACCAAAGAAAAAAAGAAUUACUGCAACUUCCAGUCUCACUUCAGAUGAAGAUGAAACACCGAUUGACCCAUCACAAGUUCUUCAAACAAAUAAGCCGAAGAUGACAAAGGCUGCAAGAGACAGAGCCCUUUCCCAACUGAAAUCCUCACUGCUGAGAAGAAAUCCAACAACCUCCAGCCCCUUGACAAAUGAAGACGAUACAGACAUAGACACCAAUGUGGACUUAUUUGACCCACCUCAGGCUUCGGGAUGAACUGACCUCUGCCAAGGGGAAAGUGAAGAGGAGAGUGUCCUGAUGGAUCAGCCCAGAUCCAGUGUUGACAUGCAACAGGAAGUGAUGGAUGCUCUGAAAGAAAUACCAGCCUUAAUCAAGUGUGUCAAAAAUCUUAUUACAACCAUGAAGAGAAUGCCACCUGUCAUGGACACUGACAGUACAUGUUCUGGUUCUUCCAGUCCAGCUCCAGAAAUGAUUUCCCUUGGCAACACGGGGGUGCAGGUCAGCAAAACCUGUUUCAGAAGACUAAACCAAACAAGAAUGUCCCUGUUCACACAGGACUUAGCUGUGCUCAUCUUUGGGCGGGAUGUUUUGGCAUCCUCGACUCUCACAGGAAAACCAGGGCUUACUGGAACAGCGAAAGAGCAGCUAAAUCCGGUAAAGCUGAGUGCCCUUGUUGAUACAGUUAUUGCUGAAUUUCCAGGAACAAAUGUGUCUGAUGUGAGGGCAGUGAUUCUGAGAAAAUGUAACAAUGAGAAUUUUGUGAGCAAAAAGAAACAGUAAGCAGUAACAUCAGUAACUGUUUGUAAUCGUUUUUGUUUGUUUGUUCUUUGGUGGACAUACAUUUUGAGUUUAAACAAACUGUGAAUGUUUCACAUGUAAAAGUUUCAAAAGUCAGUUUAAUGUUCAUCCCUGUCAUUACUAGCUUCUCUGCGGUGCAUAGCUAGCAGGGUAGUGCUAGCACAGCUAGUGUUUCUUUAUUUUUUCCUUUUAUUAUUGUUACUUAGUUAACUUGUUAAAGAGUGUGACUAAAAAGAAUUCUCUGGGGUUAGAUGAUCCAAAUUUGAAUAAAAAUGUUACGAUGAAGAUAUACUGUUUUAAAAUGUUGUUUAAGAUGUUGUUAAAGAUGUAUUAAAAUGUACUUUAUUAUGCACAUUUUCCCUGUCAUGCCGUGCAUGUUAAAAAUAUACCUUUUUUCUACCUCAAGUAUGUUCUAAAUAUUUUUUAUGUUUACUUAAAAGUAAUUUACAUUUCAAAUUAAUUAUAGAAAAAAUAUACUUUCUGUGUACUGUUGAAGUGUACUUUAAUGAAAUGCAUCUAGUAUACUUUCUGCACACAUAAUUAGUGUACUCACAGUAUAUUAUUUUCAAUGUGCUAACAAUAUACUUAGUAUACUAAUGAUAUAUCAUGAGUGCUACUUUAGACAUACUAAAGUACAACUUAGUGUACUUAUCUGUACUAUUUUGAGUCAACAUUAAGAUGAACUAUAGUAUGCUUUAGUACAACUUUUUAAUUUUUAUUUGUUUUUUGUAAAUAUAUUUAAAAUGCCAUGGCAAUACAUUAUGAUUAAAUUAGAAAUACAUUUCCAGUAUAUUCUAAAUGUAUUAAUAGUAAUCUUAAAAGUGGAUUUAAAUAUACUUUAAAUCGAACUAAAGAACAUUAUAAAUAAGUACAGUAUUAGUAGAGAAAAGUGUACUUAAGUAUAUUUAAGUUAAUCUUAAUGGUGUCUCAAAAUAGUACAGUCAAGUACACUAAGAUGUAUUUUAGUAUAUCUUAAGUAGCAAUAAUGAUAUAUCAUUAGUAUACUAAGUACGCAUGUACGUAUACACUUAUUCCGAUUAGUUUGGGGUUUAACUUUGAGCAGCUGCAGUAGUUCACAAUUGGUCCACUCCGUAUGUAUUUUUCUGCACACCGAACUUGACCGCUGUCAAGGAAAGUGGAUUUUUUGUCUGAUUCACAUCUUUCUUAGUUUACAGAUGCGGUCUAUAGUCGCUCAAUUUAGCAGAUUAACAACCGUUGAAAGGUAUUGAAGGCAUUUUAAAACAAGGCCCAACAAGCAGUUGACAGGAGAGGUGCGGCUCCAACCAAUUUUCCAUUCUUUGAAACGAUCAACCGUUUCAUCGGAGGACGGCCAUUCGGCCAAUAUUCAAUGUUGAGCAAAAUGGACUUUAUGUUGGUUUUAGAACAGACGAGGAUGUGAAUGUAACAUCCUCUGGUAAGAUGUCACCAUUGUUAUAAGGUUUAGGAUCAAUUCAUGGGUACACAUGACUUAUUGCUUGCUCUCUAGCGAUGGUUUGAGGUUGGCUGAUGGUAAUACAUGAGAGUACUUAAUGCUAUUCAAGUAUAACAUGUAACCCAUGUUAGGUCUUAACACGUAUUUAUUCUGUGGUAGAUGAUGACAGGGACGGCAAUGACACUGUUGGCAACGCUCAGGAGUCAAAAGCAGAGGAGACCUCCAAAGUGGCUCUUCCUGCGUCAAUAAAGAGAAAGCCACUGCUUCGAUAGAAAAUAAUGAGCCCGUACAAUUUGUGUUGAAAUCACAUUGUUAACUUCAACUUGCACUUAUAGUGUAGAUUCCUCUACAAGUACAGUAGAUUCCUCUACAGAUAAAGUUAAAUUUGCACUGAAGCCUACGUUAAAAUCCAGAGCUAAAAACUAGUGCUAGUGUAAAGAAUGCUCCACCCCAUUUUUUGUAACAACGCAGCCAGACCUCAAGAAUCUCCAAAAGAAAGGUCAGUGUCCGUAAUAAUUUAAAAUAAUGUCAUUGUUUUCCAUCUGUUGUUUAUUUAGCCUCAUGGAAAUACAGUGGGGCUCUGUGAUUUAGCGUGUGAGGUCUAAACUGCAUAAUACAUCACAUUUGUAGUGACAACGCUAGCUAGCUAUGUAAGCUAAUCGCUAACGCUAGCAAGGUAAGGAAAGUUCCAAUAGCAACUACAGUAUGAUCAUUUAUUGAUUAAAACAUGCCACAAAAUGUGAAAAUAAUUAUUGACUUCUUGAUAUUUUAAUCACGUUAUGUCAGACAAUUGAUUGUCAGUGUAAUGGGUUAGAAAACCUACUAAUUUCCUUAUGGUGUGUAAAGGGUUAAAAAUAUAAAUAUAUUUGGGGCAUUAGUAAAAAGAUAAAAGUAGACAACCCAUUAUUUUCUUUUGUUUUUGACUAUAAUAAUCUAAUAAAAUUUCAUAAUGGCGGUUUUCGCUAGAAUGACUCAUCGAGCCACUAGAUGGCGCAUGGCGCCCAGGGGAUCAUUAACACCACAGGGACACGUUACCGCAGAAUAAAUUCUGCGAGCAAGACUAAUGGAAGCUUUGUUUCAUGUCUCUUGUUUGUUAAACAAUAGGUGGGUUAAAACCCCUUAAAUAAAACACAUUAUACUUUGUAGAGUAGGCUCAUGAGUGUAAUAUGGUCAGAAGAAGAGAAAUGGGUUUUGUGAAUGUUGUGUGAUCGUGAUCGUGAUCGUGACCAUGAAGUUACAUGCUAAUGUUGUUGGGCUAGCGGUGCUAGUGGGUUCUUGCGGGCGUUGCGCUGACAUUGGGUUCAUGAAGUGAACGCGAGUUCUAUUUCAUUCUUACUGACCGCCAGAGGCAGUGCUUAACAUCCAGUGUUAAGCACUGCCUCUGGCGGUC